AGCGAACGCUGGCGGCAGGCCUAACACAUGCAAGUCGAACGGACCCUUCGGGGUUAGUGGCGGACGGGUGAGUAACACGUGGGAACGUGCCUUUAGGUUCGGAAUAGCUCCUGGAAACGGGUGGUAAUGCCGAAUGUGCCCUUCGGGGGAAAGAUUUAUCGCCUUUAGAGCGGCCCGCGUCUGAUUAGCUAGUUGGGGGUGUAACGGACCACCAAGGCGACGAUCAGUAGCUGGUCUGAGAGGAUGAUCAGCCACAUUGGGACUGAGACACGGCCCAAACUCCUACGGGAGGCAGCAGUGGGGAAUCUUGCGCAAUGGGCGAAAGCCUGACGCAGCCAUGCCGCGUGAAUGAUGAAGGUCUUAGGAUUGUAAAAUUCUUUCACCGGGGACGAUAAUGACGGUACUCGGAGAAGAAGCCCCGGCUAACUUCGUGCCAGCCGCCGCAGUAACAC
rnacentral:rRNA from 1 species